rnacentral:lncRNA from 1 species
AGGCAUUGAGGCAGCCAGCGCAGGGGCUUCUGCUGAGGGGGCAGGCGGAGCUUGAGGAAACCGCAGAUAAGUUUUUUUCUCUUUGAAAGAUAGAGAUUAAUACAACUACUUAAAAAAUAUAGUCAAUAGGUUACUAAGAUAUUGCUUAGCGUUAAGUUUUUAACGUAAUUUUAAUAGCUUAAGAUUUUAAGAGAAAAUAUGAAGACUUAGAAGAGUAGCAUGAGGAAGGAAAAGAUAAAAGGUUUCUAAAACAUGACGGAGGUUGAGAUGAAGCUUCUUCAUGGAGUAAAAAAUGUAUUUAAAAGAAAAUUGAGAGAAAGGACUACAGAGCCCCGAAUUAAUACCAAUAGAAGGGCAAUGCUUUUAGAUUAAAAUGAAGGUGACUUAAACAGCUUAAAGUUUAGUUUAAAAGUUGUAGGUGAUUAAAAUAAUUUGAAGGCGAUCUUUUAAAAAGAGAUUAAACCGAAGGUGAUUAAAAGACCUUGAAAUCCAUGACGCAGGGAGAAUUGCGUCAUUUAAAGCCUAGUUAACGCAUUUACUAAACGCAGACGAAAAUGGAAAGAUUAAUUGGGAGUGGUAGGAUGAAACAAUUUGGAGAAGAUAGAAGUUUGAAGUGGAAAACUGGAAGACAGAAGUACGGGAAGGCGAAGAAAAGAAUAGAGAAGAUAGGGAAAUUAGAAGAUAAAAACAUACUUUUAGAAGAAAAAAGAUAAAUUUAAACCUGAAAAGUAGGAAGCAGAAGAAAAAAGACAAGCUAGGAAACAAAAAGCUAAGGGCAAAAUGUACAAACUUAGAAGAAAAUUGGAAGAUAGAAACAAGAUAGAAAAUGAAAAUAUUGUCAAGAGUUUCAGAUAGAAAAUGAAAAACAAGCUAAGACAAGUAUUGGAGAAGUAUAGAAGAUAGAAAAAUAUAAAGCCAAAAAUUGGAUAAAAUAGCACUGAAAAAAUGAGGAAAUUAUUGGUAAUUGUUUAGUUUAUGAUUGCAGAUAAACUCAUGCCAGAGAACUUAAAGUCUUAGAAUGGAAAAAGUAAAGAAAUAUCAACUUCCAAGUUGGCAAGUAACUCCCAAUGAUUUAGUUUUUUUCCCCCCAGUUUGAAUUGGGAAGCUGGGGGAAGUUAAAUAUGAGCCACUGGGUGUACCAGUGCAUUAAUUUGGGCAAGGAAAGUGUCAUAAUUUGAUACUGUAUCUGUUUUCCUUCAAAGUAUAGAGCUUUUGGGGAAGGAAAGUAUUGAACUGGGGGUUGGUCUGGCCUACUGGGCUGACAUUAACUACAAUUAUGGGAAAUGCAA